rnacentral:misc_RNA from 1 species
AGUCGUAACAAGGUUUCUGUAGGUGAACCUGCAGAAGGAUCAUUAGUGAAAGUUUCGGGCCUGCCAUACGGACGCAAACACGUCUCUGGCGCCCAUCACUAUAUCCAUACCAACCCCUGUGCACUGUGAUGACGAAUGUCAUCGAACAAAAAAAACUCGUAUGGUUGAAUGUACGUGAAAUUGUAGGUAUAGCCUACGAACUAUACACAACUUUCGACAACGGAUCUCUUGGUUCUCCCAUCGAUGAAGAACGCAGCGAAACGCGAUAGGUAAUGUGAAUUGCAGAAUUCCGUGAAUCAUCGAAUCUUUGAACGCACCUUGCGCUCCAUGGUAUUCCGUGGAGCAUGCCUGUUUGAGUGCCGCGAAUUCUCCCUCCCCUUACGGUGGCCGAAAGGCCGAAGUAGGGCGGACGGGGUAGGAUGGGUGUUGCUGCCUGGGGAUUGUACCAGGCUCGCCCGAAAUGCAUAAGCGCCAGGACCCUCGCUACCGCUCUCUAGGGAAGAGUGGCUAAGCGACCGCUGAGCAUGGCAUGAUACGUCAUUUGCUGUGUGUGGGCGGCCGGUUGGAGAGGUGUCUGCUUUACCAGCCCUUUUUUAAUUCUGGUCUCAAAUCAGGUAGGAUCACCCGCUGAACCUAAGCAUAUCAAUAAAGCGGAGG